UACAGAGGGGGCAAGCGUUAUUCGGAAUUAUUGGGCGUAAAGGGCGCGUAGGCGGCUUUGCAAGUGACGGGUGAAAUCCCUCGGCUUAACCGAGGAACUGCCUGUCAAACUGCAUGGCUUGAGACCGGGAGAGGUGAGUGGAAUUCCCAGUGUAGCGGUGAAAUGCGUAGAUAUCGUAAGGAAGACCAGUGGCGAAGGCGGGUCUCUGGACAGUUCCUGACGCUGAGGCACGAAGGCCAGGGGAGCAAACGGG
rnacentral:rRNA from 1 species